UACGAAGGGUGCAAGCGUUAAUCGGAAUUACUGGGCGUAAAGCGUGUGUAGGCGGUUUCUUAAGUCUGCUGUGAAAUCCCCGGGCUCAACCUGGGAAUGGCAGUGGAUACUGGGAAGCUAGAGUGUGAUAGAGGAUGGUGGAAUUCCCGGUGUAGCGGUGAAAUGCGUAGAGAUCGGGAGGAACAUCAGUGGCGAAGGCGGCCAUCUGGAUCAACACUGACGCUGAGACACGAAAGCGUGGGGAGCAAAC
rnacentral:rRNA from 1 species